CAGCCGCCACGGUAAUACGUAGGUGGCAAGCGUUGUCCGGAAUUAUUGGGCGUAAAGGGCUCGCAGGCGGUUUCUUAAGUCUGAUGUGAAAGCCACCGGCUCAACCGGGGAGGGUCAUUGGAAACUGGGAAACUUGAGUGCAGAAGAGGAGAGUGGAAUUCCACGUGUAGCGGUGAAAUGCGUAGAGAUGUGGAGGAACACCAGUGGCGAAGGCGACUCUCUGGUCUGUAACUGACGCUGAGGAGCGAAAGCGUGGGGAGCGAACAGGAUUAGAUACCCCGGUAGUCCCUGUCUCUUAUAC
rnacentral:rRNA from 1 species